GGUCAAAGGAACCACCCCUCCCUACCCACACCUUCGACGGAGUACUCGGUCACUGAAGGGCAAUACAAAUCGAACGGGGAAAUGAGAAGUCAUUUUCGUUGUCAUGAGCCCCUACGACCCGCUGCAGAACUGUACGUAUCAGAUCAUCUACGACUGACGGACCUGGUAGGGACAACACACAAGAGGGACCCGACAACGCGGGGGAGGGAACUCCGGCUUGUGCUUUCGAACUCACGGUUGCACAGGAUGUACAUGGCAGCAUUUCACAUCAAUGAAAACAGCCUAAAUACCCUAGAAGUGACCAAGACGGGAGAACCAAAGAGGGCAAACCAUUAACCCCUAGGGCUAAACAAAGAGGCCAAGCCAGUGAACAAGAGACCAACACGUGAGUAUGUGGAAUUCCUACUCAGGGCCAUUCUCGAGAGAAGAAACAUGUUUCCUUCCUACAGACUUGCAGGACACAACAGCCUAUUUUUCCAGGGUAUUCUGCCAGACACUUUCAUUUUUAACUAGUAAACAGGAACUGGUGAAUUCAAUGACAUCAAGAUAUAAAAUGAA